CCCAGUGCUUCGCGUGGUCUGACGAGCUUUAAUUUCUCCCAAGGAAGAAGACUGGACGGGCCUAAGAAAACCUAGGGCUGGACUCUUCUUUUCGGCCUGUCUUAAGCCCUGCACCCCAAAGCCUCAACCAUUCAGUUUGCCCCGACUGUCUUGUUGAAUACUGGAAGACUUGUACCCCAGGAACCCCUCCUGUCCCGGGCACAUCAAGACCUUCACCUACGCCAUGGGGUUUCAUGGAGCCAGAAAUGUUUUCUUUAUGGAAGGGAAUUAGCCAAUAUUGUUUUCCUGAAAUUGUAGCAGGAUGGUCUAGUUCCCUGGACGUUUGUUUAUGAGAAAGAUGAAGACUUGCGAAGGAGAUAGAUGCUUAGAUGUAAAUGAGGAAAAAUCUCAGAGAAAAACUGCUCCAGCUGGCUCUCAUACAGCUUCAUUAGGAUGAGCAUCCUACACAAGCAAUUGCAGCUGGCAUUGUGGAGUAGCGCAGCAGACAGAACCCUGCAAGAGGCUGGAAUUCCUCCAACCACAGUCACAUGAAGAACUGUAGAGGCAAAAUCCCUGAUGAUUAGAAUUAAGUGAUGUCUGCAUGUUGUAAGGAAGAAUGGGCUGGUAA